UACGUAGGGUGCGAGCGUUGUCCGGAAUUACUGGGCGUAAAGAGUUCGUAGGCGGUUUGUCGCGUCGUUUGUGAAAACCCGGGGCUCAACUUCGGGCUUGCAGGCGAUACGGCAGACGUUGAGUGUUCAGGGAGACUGGAAUUCCUGGUGUAGCGGUGAAAUGCGCAGAUAUCAGGAGGAACACCGGUGGCGAAGCGGGUCUCUGGAACAACUGACGCUGAGGAACGAAAGCGUGGGUAGCAAACAGG
rnacentral:rRNA from 1 species